GUUGUUUGUCUGUCACGAUUGUUGUCUCCCCACUCGAAUUAUAUUAUCUCAGCCUUCAAAUAUAUCAUAUUACCCAGGAUGCGAUGAUUUCAUCAGCUCACUCUCUCUUCUAUAUAAGUGUAAGGACCUAAGUAGUUUUUUCAACAUCAAUUUGCAGUCUAGCUAGCACUAAGUACACUCCAUCCCCCUAUCUUGUUAUUUACGUUUACUUCUUUUUGUGAAAAUGUCUAGCAAUCAUGGUAAGGUAGAGACUGAUGUUGAAAUCAAGGCUCCUGCUACCAAGAUCCAUGAAGUGUUGACACACAGACCACACCACAUAUCCAAUGUCAGCCCUAACAACAUUCAGGGUUGUGAUUUACUUGAAGGUGAAUGGGGCACCGUCGGCUCUGUGGUCUACUGGAAUUAUUUCCAUGGUAAGUAAGCCUCCCUAUAGCUUCAAUUAACAUCAAUUAUAUUAUAUAUUAUGUUCAUGUCGUCUGAUGUUAAUUUCUUUCUUCAACUAUUAUUAAUUGUUAUGCAGAUGGGAAAGCUAAAGUUUCCAAGCAGUUGAUUGAAGCCAUAGACGCUGAAAAGAAUCUGAUCACUUUCAAAGUGAUCGAAGGAGAUCUCCUGGAGCAUUACAAGAGCUUCAAGAUGACCUUUCAUGCCACUCCAAAAGCUCAUGGUCAGGGCAGCAUCGUCCAUUGGACUAUGGAGUAUGAGAAGCAUCAUGGUGAUAUUGAGGACCCACAUACCUUGCUCCAGUUUGCAGUUGACGUCUCCAAAGAUAUCGAUGCUCAUCUUACAAGUGCCCAGGCAUAAUUAAUUAUAAUCGAAGGCUUGAUUGAGGCGGGCUUAUAGGAUCAUCUGUGAUUCUGUGUGCUGCAUUUAUAUCUACUAUCCAUUUGCUUUCUUGCUUGCGGAAAUAAACGCCUUCAAUCAAUGUUUGUAUCUUAAGUCUGUGUGGGCACUGGGCUACCUGAAACUUUCAUUUACUUGUGUUUGCUGUCCUUAUCUUAUAUGAUAUGGGCUAUGUAUCUUUUAUUAAUUCCAAGUUGGGGCUUUA
rnacentral:lncRNA from 1 species